rnacentral:tRNA from 1 species
GAGAGAGGCUGGGCAGCACCGAAGACUGCUAAUCUCCGACCCCCCGGUUAAACUCCGGGGCUCCCUCG